CGCGAUUCGCCCUUCGGGGUGCAGCAGGCGCGAAAACUUUACAAUGCGGGAAACCGUGAUAAGGGAACUCCGAGUGCCCGUAAAAUCGGGCUGUCCAUCUGUUUAAAUAACAGGUGAAGAAAGGGCCGGGCAAGACCGGUGCCAGCCGCCGCGGUAAUACCGGCGGCUCGAGUGGUGGCCACUAUUACUGGGCUUAAAGCGUUCGUAGCUGGUCUGUUAAGUCUCUGGGGAAAUCUACUGGCUUAACCAAUAGGCGUUUCAGGGAUACUGGCAGACUAGGGACCGGGAGAGGUGAGGGGUACUCCAGGGGUAGGAGUGAAAUCCUGUAAUCCUUGGGGGACCACCUGUGGCGAAGGCGCCUCACCAGAACGGCUCCGACAGUGAGGGACGAAAGCUGGGGGAGCAAACCGGAUUAGAUACCCGGGUAGUCCCAGCCGUAAACGAUGCGCGUUAGGUGUAUCGGUGACCACGAGUCACCGAGGUGCCGAAGAGAAAUCGUGAAACGUGCCGCCUGGGAAGUACGGUCGCAAGGCUGAAACUUAAAGGAAUUGGCGGGGGAGCAC
rnacentral:rRNA from 1 species